GGGCGCUUAGCUCAGUUGGUUAGAGCGCUUCGUUUACACCGAAGAGGUCGGGGGUUCGAGUCCCUCAGCGCCCA
rnacentral:tRNA from 3 species